rnacentral:rRNA from 1 species
GGAGGAUGCAAGCGUUAUCCGGAUUUAUUGGGUUUAAAGGGUGCGUAGGCGGAAUUGUAAGUCAGUGGUGAAAUCUUGCAGCUUAACUGUAAAAUAGCCAUUGAUACUGCAGUUCUUGAGUACAGUUGAGGUAGGCGGAAUGUGUAAUGUAGCGGUGAAAUGCUUAGAUAUUACACAGAACACCGAUUGCGUAGGCAGCUUACUAAGUUGUAACUGACGCUGAUGCACGAAAGCGUGGGGAUCGAACAGGAUUAGAUACCCUGGUAGUCCACGCUGUAAACGAUGAUCACUCGUUGUUGGCGAUAAACAGUCAGCGACUGAGCGAAAGCAUUAAGUGAUCCACCUGGGGAGUACGGUCGCAAGACUGAA